UACGUAGGGCGCAAGCGUUGUCCGGAAUUAUUGGGCGUAAAGAGCUCGUAGGCGGUUUGUCGCGUCUGCUGUGAAAUCCCGAGGCUCAACCUCGGGCUUGCAGUGGGUACGGGCAGACUAGAGUGCGGUAGGGGGAGACUGGAAUUCCUGGUGUAGCGGUGGAAUGCGCAGAUAUCAGGAGGAACACCGAUGGCGAAGGCAGGUCUCUGGGCCGCAACUGACGCUGAGGAGCGAAAGCAUGGGGAGCGAACAGG
rnacentral:rRNA from 1 species